rnacentral:lncRNA from 1 species
UAGAGGACUCGACCACCAAUAACAAUAGGUGGACGUUCAUAUGGGAGAUGAUCAAAUACCCAACCUAAUGGUUCUCAGUCUGCUGUUUCCUAAAGAAAUGGUGUAAACUCUGAACCAGUAUAAUAGGGAAGAAGUUGCACAUGUUCCAGUACAACGUGAUGUUGGAAUGAUCCACCCAUCUCGACAUAAUGCGCUCUUCAAGAAACGAUUUGAAACUAUAAAGACUUUCUACUUCGGCACAG